AGAGUUUGAUCCUGGCUCAGGACGAACGCUGGCGGCGUGCCUAAUACAUGCAAGUCGAGCGCGGGAAGCAAGGGAUCCCUUCGGGGUGACCUUGUGGAACGAGCGGCGGACGGGUGAGUAACACGUGGGCAACCUGCCUGUAAGACGGGGAUAACUCCGGGAAACCGGAGCUAAUACCGGGUAAUCUGUCGCACCGCAUGGUGCGAGAGUGAAAGAUGGUUCUGCCAUCGCUUACAGAUGGGCCCGCGGUGCAUUAGCUAGUUGGUGGGGCAACGGCCCACCAAGGCUUCGAUGCAUAGCUGACCUGAGAGGGUGAUCGGCCACAUUGGGACUGAGACACGGCCCAAACUCCUACGGGAGGCAGCAGUAGGGAGUCUUCCGCAAUGGACGAAAGUCUGACGGAGCAACGCCGCGUGAGCGAAGAAGGUUUUCGGAUCGUAAAGCUCUGUUGUUGGAGAAGAACAGGUGCCGGAGGAAAUGCCGGUGCCGUGACGGUAUCCAACCAGAAAGCCACGGCUAACUACGUGCCAGCAGCCGCGGUAAUACGUAGGUGGCAAGCGUUGUCCGGAAUUAUUGGGCGUAAAGCGCGCGCAGGCGGCUUCUUAAGUCUGAUGUGAAAGCCCACGGCUUAACCGUGGAGGGUCAUUGGAAACUGGGAGCUUGAGUACAGAAGAGGAGAGUGGAAUUCCACGUGUAGCGGUGAAAUGCGUAGAGAUGUGGAGGAAUACCAGUGGCGAAGGCGGCUCUCUGGUCUGUUACUGACGCUGAGGCGCGAAAGCGUGGGGAGCAAACAGGAUUAGAUACCCUGGUAGUCCACGCCGUAAACGAUGAGUGCUAGGUGUUAGGGGGGUCCAACCCCUUAGUGCUGAAGUUAACACAUUAAGCACUCCGCCUGGGGAGUACGACCGCAAGGUUGAAACUCAAAGGAAUUGACGGGGGCCCGCACAAGCAGUGGAGCAUGUGGUUUAAUUCGAAGCAACGCGAAGAACCUUACCAGGUCUUGACAUCCUCUGACAACCCUAGAGAUAGGGCGUUCCCCUUCGGGGGACAGAGUGACAGGUGGUGCAUGGUUGUCGUCAGCUCGUGUCGUGAGAUGUUGGGUUAAGUCCUGCAACGAGCGCAACCCCUGUUGUUAGUUGCUAACAGUAAGAUGAGCACUCUAACGAGACUGCCGCGGUUAACGCGGAGGAAGGUGGGGAUGACGUCAAAUCAUCAUGCCCCUUAUGUCCAGGGCAACACACGUGCUACAAUGGGCAGAACAGAGAGAAGCAAGGCCGUGAGGUGGAGCGAACCUCAAAAACUGUUCCCAGUUCGGAUUGCAGGCUGAAACCCGCCUGCAUGAAGCUGGAGUUGCUAGUAAUCGCGAAUCAGCAUGUCGCGGUGAAUACGUUCCCGGGCCUUGUACACACCGCCCGUCACACCAUGAGAGCCGGCAACACCCGAAGUCCGUAGUCUAACGAAAGAGGACGCGGCCGAAGGUGGGGUUGGUGAUUGGGGUGAAGUCGUAACAAGGUAACC
rnacentral:rRNA from 1 species